GAGUUUGAUCAUGGCUCAGAUUGAACGCUGGCGGCAUGCUUUACACAUGCAAGUCGGACGGCAGCACAGAGAAGCUUGCUUCUUGGGUGGCGAGUGGCGAACGGGUGAGUAACAUAUCGGAACGUACCGAGUAAUGGGGGAUAACUAAUCGAAAGAUUAGCUAAUACCGCAUAUUCUCUGAGGAGGAAAGCAGGGGACCUUCGGGCCUUGCGUUAUUUGAGCGGCCGAUAUCUGAUUAGCUAGUUGGUGGGGUAAAGGCCUACCAAGGCGACGAUCAGUAGCGGGUCUGAGAGGAUGAUCCGCCACACUGGGACUGAGACACGGCCCAGACUCCUACGGGAGGCAGCAGUGGGGAAUUUUGGACAAUGGGCGCAAGCCUGAUCCAGCCAUGCCGCGUGUCUGAAGAAGGCCUUCGGGUUGUAAAGGACUUUUGUCAGGGAAGAAAAGGACAGGGUUAAUACCCCUGUCUGAUGACGGUACCUGAAGAAUAAGCACCGGCUAACUACGUGCCAGCAGCCGCGGUAAUACGUAGGGUGCGAGCGUUAAUCGGAAUUACUGGGCGUAAAGCGAGCGCAGACGGUUACUUAAGCAGGAUGUGAAAUCCCCGGGCUCAACCUGGGAACUGCGUUCUGAACUGGGUGACUAGAGUGUGUCAGAGGGAGGUAGAAUUCCACGUGUAGCAGUGAAAUGCGUAGAGAUGUGGAGGAAUACCGAUGGCGAAGGCAGCCUCCUGGGAUAACACUGACGUUCAUGCUCGAAAGCGUGGGUAGCAAACAGGGAUUAGAUACCCUGGUAGUCCACGCCCUAAACGAUGUCAAUUAGCUGUUGGGCAACUUGAUUGCUUAGUAGGCGUAGCUAACGCGUGAAAUUGACCGCCUGGGGAGUACGGGUCGCAAAGAUUAAACUCAAAAGGAAUUGACGGGGACCCGGCACAGCGGUGGAUGAUGUGGAUUAUUCGAUGGCACGCGAGGAACUUUACUGGUCUUGAAUGUACGGGACCCUCAAGAGACGGAGGGGUGCCUUCGGGAGCCUAACACCAGUGCUGC
rnacentral:rRNA from 1 species